AUACGGAGGGCGCGAGCGUUAUUCGGAAUCAUUGGGCGUAAAGCGCGUGUAGGCGGCUGGGUAAGUCGGAUGGGAAAGCCCGGGGCUCAACCUCGGAAUUGCAUACGAAACUGCCUAGCUAGAGUCUCGGAGAUGAGGGCGGAAUUCCCGGUGUAGAGGUGAAAUUCGUAGAUAUCGGGAGGAACACCAGUGGCGAAGGCGGCCCUCUGGACGAUGACUGACGCUGAGACGCGAAAGCGUGGGGAGCAAACAGGAUUAGAAACCCCGGUAGUCC
rnacentral:rRNA from 1 species